rnacentral:lncRNA from 1 species
UACUAGAGUCAUGUAUUUAACUCUUAUCCACUGAGGGGCUACGGUCAUGGGUAAAUGUAUCUAAUAUGCACUGAGGGGCUACAGUCGUGUGUAAGGGUAACUCUUAUCCACUGAGAGGCUACGGCCGUGGGUAAAGGUAUCCAUUAUACACUGAGGGGCUACAACCGUGUAUAAUGAUGAUUAUUUUGUUUCCAUCUUAUACACUGAGGGGCUACAGCCAUGUACAAGAUAUUGAUCAAACGGUUUAUGUACAUAUGAUUUAUAGCUUUCAGAUCAUUAGUAGAUGUUUACAUGGGAUAUAUAUUUUGAUGUGAAUUUUAAUUAUAUAGUGGAUUAUUAGUCUUCAGCUUACAUUUUUCCCGCUUACAGUUCAGUUUGUGGAUUUUAGAUUAUGGUUUUUGAUUAUUGAAUUGUCUAAUGUACUUAUAUAUAUAUAUAAAGGACAAUACAACCAUCUUUUAAGCAAUUCACUCCCUGGGAUUAUUAUCUCAUAUUUUCCUGAACUUUUCCUUAUAGGAGGCUGUUGACUGAGGUGUGGUGGAGAUUAUUUUGAUAGUUUUGCAACCAUUGUUACCACCAAUUGUAGGUUCUUUUGUUUGAAAUUGUGUAAUCAACAAGUGAAAUAUUUGCAUCAUAUUGGAGGAAAUUUUUUUGGGUAUUUAUAUACACCAAUGAUUAUGAUGUAAUAUUGUAAUCUAAACUGCUUUCUAUUAUCCUUUUGAGAGGCAAUUUUGAUGAAUAUGAUAUGGAUGUUUUUGGCUAAACGAG